rnacentral:rRNA from 1 species
GAUGAACGCUGGCGGCGUGCCUAAUACAUGCAAGUCGAGCGAACGGACGAGAAGCUUGCUUCUCUGAUGUUAGCGGCGGACGGGUGAGUAACACGUGGAUAACCUACCUAUAAGACUGGGAUAACUUCGGGAAACCGUAGCUAAUACCGGAUAAUAUUUUGAACUGCAUGGUUCAAAAGUGAAAGACGGUCUUGCUGUCACUUAUAGAUGGAUCCGCGCUGCAUUAGCUAGUUGGUAAGGUAACGGCUUACCAAGGCAACGAUGCAUAGCCGACCUGAGAGGGUGAUCGGCCACACUGGAACUGAGACACGGUCCAGACUCCUACGGGAGGCAGCAGUAGGGAAUCUUCCGCAAUGGGCGAAAGCCUGACGGAGCAACGACGCGUGAGUGAUGAAGGUCUUCGGAUCGUAAAACUCUGUUAUUAGGGAAGAACAUAUGUGUAAGUAACUGUGCACAUCUUGACGGUACCUAAUCAGAAAGCCACGGCUAACUACGUG